GUUGGAUUGCGCUCUCAUCCCCUACGGCGAAACGGUGGGGAGAUUGACUGCGCCCAGGGCGCUGCCGCCUACCAGCGAGCUCGCAGUUGCUCCGGCGGCCAUGGAGUUCUUAAUGCAGCCGAUAAACAGGUGACUGAUAACAACAGAACAAUGGAGCCCGUGCGGUUCCUAAUCACCGCGCAGCCGGAGGUUGAGCUUCCAGCACCGGCGGCUUCAAGUGCGGACGCCCAGAUCUGUCGUGCAGAGACGGGAACUGCGGAGAUGGCCCAGACUUCCGAGCACUCCAUAGAGCAAUUGGACCCCAAAACACCUGGUUGGAUACAAAGAGUGCGUGUAGGUGCUGCUGCUGUAGGCAGGGCUCCUUGCCUGGACAGGGUCACAGCGCUGGAGAAGACCAUGAGGGAAUUUGCGGAUCAUCCAGGAGACAGAGUCAUUGUGCCAAAGAUAGGUACAAGUUUCGACACUCUUGGUGAGGCAUACGACUUUUACAAUUUGUACUCCUGGGAGAAAGGAUUUGGCAUUAGAUAUGGGAAGAGCAGACUAAAUGUGAACAGGACAAAGUUGGAAAUACUCGUUCCUGCCGCUGUGAAUGGCCAGCCCUCAUGAGAUUGCUGGGGUCAAAGGACAAUGGAUGCCCAAUGCAUAUCUUUGUGAGGAAGUAUAUGAGUUUAAUUUCUGAUAGGGAGUCGAGGAAAAUUAUGAGGAGAAGCGGACAACAAUCGGGAGGCCCCUUAUGCGAGCAAAUAUGGCAACCGAGAGACAUGCUGGGCAGAUAUACACUAGAGCUAUAUUUGAGCAAUUCGGUCAUAUACUAUAGGAGUGUGGUGCAUAUCAGGUGGAAGAGAUCAAAAAGGGUAAAGAGUAUAUGGCAAUACCUACAGAUGCAACACGAAGAGAGAAGUGGUGCAGAACUUCAUACAAGGUGACGGUGCUUGAAGGAGGGGAGGAAUUUGACUGCAAGUGUGGUCAAUUUGCACACAUGGGGCUGUUGUGCAGCCAUAUCCUUAAGGUGCCUUCAUCCGUGUGACAGAAAUCCCAAAGAAGCACAUAGUGAAGAGGUGGACCAGAGAUGCAAGAGAUAUCCUUCAACGCACCUAAUUCAGUACCAGAGGGACAAUGCUCAAGAAAACCCGUUUAGUUUCCGACAUUUCAAUAUGUACAUGCAAGCCAUGGAGCUUGUGCGGAUGGGCAACUCAAGUGUAGCAGCUUAUGAACAUUUGAUUGCAUUGUUCAAGCAAUGUGCAUCAGAGAUGAAGCCAUUCACAGAAGUCAGAGAUGGUUUAUGUCUGGAAGACAGGUUAGCAGGCAAUAUUAGGAUUCUGAACAGGAUACAAUCAGAAGGCGAUGUAUAUCAAGGAGUAGAUGACAUGUUAGCGUGGGCAACGCUGACAGCAAUUCAGCAAAUGAGUAUGCGAUUAGGCUUUCAAACUUAUUAGCACCAGCUAAGCGUAAACAAGUGGGCAGACGGACAACCAGUAGGGAGAAAGCUCCAUAUGAAGGUUUAAGUAAAAGAACAGGGUUUUGUGUCAUAUGCAUGCAGCAAGGCCACAAGCGGACAACAUGUCCUGAAGGCGGUGACAUACUAAAACAGCCUCGUA